CCAGAUCGACGCAAUCUCACAAUUCUUACUCCUCCCGGACACGAAAUUGAAGGCCAUCAAAAAAGAGAUCAGGCGCACAUUACGAGCUCAAUCUCUCUCUAUUCAACAACUAGCCCGAGUAUUAGGACUACUGGCUUCCUCGAUACAAGCCAUCUUCCCAGGGCCUCUACACUAUCGUGCCCUACAACGGCUAAAAGGUUCUCACCUCAGGUCCGGCCGUUCAUACGAAUCCGCACUAGUCCUGGAUGUAGAAUCACGAGAGGAGCUGAGGUGGUGGCUAGACCAUAUGGAGGCGUGGAACGGCCGAGCAAUAUUCGGAACCAGCCCGGACCUGAUUAUAGAAUCGGAUGCAAGCCUCCAUGGCUGGUGCGCGCGUUGUGGCAGAUGGUCCAUGGAGGAAUCCACAAUGCACAUAAAUUGCCUGGAACUUCUGGCAGGAUCGUUCGCCAUCCGCAGUCUCUCCCCUAUGGUAGGGAGAUGUUGUAUACUGCUCCGUAUGGACAACAUCUCGGCAGUCCGUUAUAUCAAUCAUCUAGGAGGCACCAAAUCCAAACGACUAGCAAACCUAGCGAAGGAAUUUUGGCAGUUUUGCCUUCAGAACGAGAUUGCGGUGACAGCGGAACACAUUCCGGGCUUAGACAACGUACAAGCGGACUGGAAUUCCAGAUAUCUGCGAGAUCCGGGAGACUGGCGUCUUCUCCGCUCUACCUUUUGCCAAAUAGACGAAUUGUGGGGACCACUGGACGUAGACCUUUUUGCAUCCAGACUGAACAGUCACCUGCCUCAAUACUUCAGCUGGCGACCAGAUCCAACAG